rnacentral:rRNA from 1 species
AUCAACGCUGGCGGCGUGCCUAACACAUGCAAGUCGAACCGAGAAAGUUGGUAGCAAUACCAUGAGGUAAAGUUGGCGCCACGGGUGAGUAAACACCGUGACUAACCUACCYUGGAGUGGGGGAUAACUGAGGGAAACCUUAGCUAAUACCGCAUAACACCUACGGGUCAAAGGAGCAAUUCGCUUUGGGAGGGGGUCGCGGCCGAUUAGUUAGUUGGCGGGGUAAUGGCCCACCAAGACGAUGAUCGGUAUCCGGCCUGAGAGGGCGCACGGACACACUGGAACUGAAACACGGUCCAGACUCCUACGGGAGGCAGCAGUGGGGAAUUUUGCGCAAUGGGGGAAACCCUGACGCAGCAACGCCGCGUGGAGGAUGAAGUACUUCGGUACGUAAACUCCUUUCGAUCGGGACGAUAAUGACGGUACCGAGAGAAGAAGCCCCGGCUAACUUCGUGCCAGCAGCCGCGGUAAUACGAGGGGGGCGAGCGUUGUUCGGUAUUAUUGGGCGUAAAGGGUGCGUAGGCGGUUUGGUAAGUCUUGUGUGAAAUCUAUGGGCUCAACUCAUAGUCUGCACGAGAAACUGCCCGGGCUUGAGUGUGGGAGAGGUGAGUGGAAUUUCCGGUGUAGCGGUGAAAUGCGUAGAUAUUCGGAAGGAACACCUGGUGGCGAAAGCGGCUCACUGGACCACAACUGGACGCUGAUGCACCGAAAGCUAGGGGAGCAAACAGGAUUAGAUACCCUGGUAGUCCUAGCCCUAAACGAUGACUGCUUCAAGUGGACGGGUACCCAAUCCCGCCGUGCCGUAGCUAACGCGUUAAGCAGUCCGCCUGGAGAUGACGGUCGCAAGGCUGAAACUCAUAAGAGAGAUUGACGGGGGCCCGCACAAGCGGUGGAGCAUGUGGUUUAAUUCGACGCAACGCGAAGAACCUUACCUGGGCUCGAAAUGUUAUGGACCGGAGUGGAGACAUUCCUUCCCCGCAAGGGGCCGUAAUAUAGGUGCUGCAUGGCUGUCGUCAGCUCGUGUCGUGAGAUGUUGGGUUAAGUCCCGCAACGAGCGCAACCCUUACUUCCAGUUGCCAUCAUUUAGUUGGGCACUCUGG